CACGCGGANGGAUCAUUACCGAGUUUACAACUCCCAAACCCCUGUGAACAUACCAAUUGUUGCCUCGGCGGAUCAGCCCGCUCCCGGUAAAACGGGACGGCCCGCCAGAGGACCCCUAAACUCUGUUUCUAUAUGUAACUUCUGAGUAAAACCAUAAAUAAAUCAAAACUUUCAACAACGGAUCUCUUGGUUCUGGCAUCGAUGAAGAACGCAGCAAAAUGCGAUAAGUAAUGUGAAUUGCAGAAUUCAGUGAAUCAUCGAAUCUUUGAACGCACAUUGCGCCCGCCAGUAUUCUGGCGGGCAUGCCUGUUCGAGCGUCAUUUCAACCCUCAAGCCCCCGGGUUUGGUGUUGGGGAUCGGCGAGCCCUUGCGGCAAGCCGGCCCCGAAAUCUAGUGGCGGUCUCGCUGCAGCUUCCAUUGCGUAGUAGUAAAACCCUCGCAACUGGUACGCGGCGCGGCCAAGCCGUUAAACCCCCAACUUCUGAAUGUUGACCUCGGAUCAGGUAG
rnacentral:rRNA from 1 species